GAUGAACGCUGGCGGCGUGCCUAAUACAUGCAAGUCGAGCGAACAGACGCGGAGCUUGCUCCUCUGACGUUAGCGGCGGACGGGUGUGUAACACGUGUAUAACCUACCUAUAAGACUGGGAUAACUUCGGGAAACCGGAGCUAAUACCGUAUGAUAUAUUGAACCGCAUGGUUCAAUAGUGAAAGACGGUGUUGCUGUCACUUAUAGAUGGAUUCGCGCUGCAUUAGCGAGUUGGUAAGGUAACGGCUUACCAAGGGAACGAUGCGUAGCCGACCUGAGAGGGUGAUCGGCCACACUGGAACUGAGACAGGGUCCAGACUCCUAAGGGAGGCAGCAGUAGGGAACGUUCGGCAAUGGGCGAAAGCAUGACGGAGCAAGGCCGAGUGAGAGAUGAAGGUCUUCGGAUCGUAAAACUCGGUUAUUAGGGAAGAACAAAUGUGUAAGUAAAUGUGGACGGAUUGACGGUACCGAAUCAGAAAGCCACGGCUAACUACGUG
rnacentral:rRNA from 1 species